AAAAAAAAUCGGCUUCCUCUCCAAAGAGAACAACCGCUGCUUAUCUUCUUCUCCUCAAGAAUCAAACACAUCCAAAAAGCUCCAUUAAUCUCACAAAAAAGAAGACAGCAGCCGUCAAUGACCUCGAAUUCUCUCACCCUUAACCCCUGAACCUCCCCCCUUUCUUUUCCACCUCUUCCGACUCAAACAAGCCCAUAUCACACACCGUGUACUGAGUUACAAUCUCCAAACCUCGCUCUCACACUAGUAAAGUAUCACAUACGUCCAAAUCUCCAAAUACACAUAACAUGAGUUACAAUCUCAAAGAAUCUUACUAUUUAAAAAAAAAAGCAAACCCAAAGCAAUAAGAUCUGGAUAGACUCGGGAGAAGAAACAUUGGGACAGAAAAAGAGAGAAAAAAAGGUUGCCGAUUCGAGGUCGAUCGAGGUUGCAACUCGUGAUUUUCAGUUCGAGGUUCCGUCGUCGGUUCGAAGUUCCGAUCAGUAGCUCGUUUGAAUCGUUGUUUCUUUUGGUGCUCGCUCAUUUGUAUAUGUUGGAAAUUUCAGCAAUAAAAGGUUCACUCUUCCUUUUAAUUAUUUCAGCUAAUUUUCGUUAGUUUAGAUGAAUACUUAAUCAUUUUAUUUCAAUCUAUUGUUACCAUGCUUUCCCCUUUUGUUAUCAUAAUUAAGUUACCCAUAUGCUUCAUGUUAAUCUCUUCCGUUUUUAUGCGCCUCUAUCCUUCGGCAAUUGAAAUGAAUAGCAUGAACUAUGUUACUUGUUGGAUUUGUGGUGAUAUCUCACAUGUUUUAUGUUAUAUCUUUUUUGUUUAGCAUUGAACGAUGUUGUUAAUAUGCAUCAUGUGAUUUUGAGUGGUUUAUAGCUAUUUCUUGUUUUGCUUGAUAAAAUUCCAUGUUAGUGUGAUGUCUUCAUUAUGCUAAGUAGAGAGAUUGUUGAGUUUUAUUGAAUCAUAAGGUUAAUAAAGAAUAAAAUAAGAAGGAUUAGGCCUUUAAGCCAAUUUGGCAUUGAGGGUUCGGGCUGUUUAAGGUCGGUGAUAUUAGGAAUUGGAGUUUGAGUUAAUUGCAAAUACUUUUCGGGACUCAAUAGAGUAAUUCAUUUUAUAAAUAAUCUUAGUAAUAAAUUUCAUAUUUCUCCACAAUAAAUUCCAUACCUCAUGACAUCACAACAAAUCUUAAAAUAGUUUAGGAAGAACAAUUCUAAUCGCUAGUAUGCUUUAGGCACUCUUUUAAUCAAUUAUCGUGAUUAUGUAUACAUUCACGUGAUAUAAUUAUGAUUCCAAAAUAAAUCAAAGUACGCGUUUGCGUGACUUUGACCAAGCAAUCUUAAAAAUUAAUAAAGCGCGAUUAAUCGUGUACACGUCCGCGUGACAUGAGUUUAGCGCCCCAAAUAAAACGGAUUUACACACAUGUACUCCGUAUCAAAGUUUUUAUCCAUAAACGCCAUAAUUAAAAGUGGUAAAAGAUAUAACACACAUAGGUUCUAAAAAUACGUAGUUAAACAAAUUAUUAAGCCAAGUUUGAUUAAAAACGACCGUGCUAAAAUUACGGAAUCCGAUAAUGCCUAUCACCUUCUCCCAGGUUAACAGAAUUCCUUACCCGGUCUUCUGAUUUUUGCAAACUUUAAAACAGAGUCAAAUUUCCUCGAUUUGGGAUUUUAAAAUAAACCGAUGACUUGAGGCACCAUAAUAAUUAUCCCAAGUGGUGACUCUGAAUCUAAUAAAUAAUCCCAUUUUGACUAAUAUCACUUUAAUUGGAAAAACUUUUUAUCCCUCGAAAAAAAGGAGGCGUGACAGCUCUGGUGACUCUGCUGGGACCGAACCCAGAAUCUCUAGUUCAGGGUUUAGAAUUCGAGUUUGUAAUGUAAUAUGUACUUGGCUUUAUUGUUUAUUGAUAUUAAUGUGUUUGUGGGCCUAAUGUGCUAAUUGCCGCUUAUUUACCGCUUCGAUAUUAUUUGAACUGUAUAAACUAUCUUCUUACACCACCCUUCUGAGUCUUCUAAAAAUAUGGUGCACACGUACGCGUGACCCACUUUUUUGUUAGAGGUCAUACCAAAUAGAACGAGGCUGGAUCAACAACUGGGUCAGGUAGACUUUCGUGCUCCCGGUAUAUUGCCCCCACAUCGGCUCAAGCUGUCCUCUUGGGAAAGCCAUGUCUAGAGCAAACCCCUAGGAUUUAAACCUAGACUAAUAUAGCCUCAUGUCAGAUCCCUAGUAGGUACGUUUGUUUGCAUCACGUGCAUUUGACUUAGGGGACUCAAAGCAGGGGUUGGGUCCGUCUAGGACAGAUGUACCCAAAACUAAAAAGGCCAUCCUAAUACUUCUUACGUUCUACUUGUACAUUUAUUUGAUGCGAUCAAAUGUUGAUAGACUUUUAGAAUAUAAAAAGAAAAUUGAAAAAACAACAAGAGAGAAAAUAAGAGAGUGAAAUUCACCUGGUUUUCAUCAAAUCCUUGUGUUCAAAAAUCAAACUGUCUGAUUUCAUUCAAAAUGUGUUGAAAAAUAGACUAGGAUUUUGAGAUAUUCCCCGCUUUUGGCUGAACUAUGCGGGUCUGACCUCACCGGAUGUGAGAUAUGUAGGCAAACCUCAUCGGUUCCGGUCCCCAAUUUUCAAAAAAGUCCAAAAUAUUUCCCCUUUUCUUAAUUCUUUCUUAGAAUUAUUUCCUUAGAAAAUAAAUAAAAAAAUCCAAAAAUAUUUUCCCUCUUUUCCGAAGUCUUUCAUUCAAAAAAAAAAAAGAGAAAAAAAACUUUCAAAUCAAAAUCCAAAAUAUUUUUUUUCUUUUUCAGAAGUCAUUCUUUUCGAAAUCUAGAGGCAAAAAUAUUCAGGAUUCAAAAAUAUUUUCUUUUUUCUUUAGAAGUCUUUCUUUCAUAAAUUCAAAAUAAAAGUUCAAAAAUCCAAAAAUAUUUCCUUUCUUCUUUAGAAGUUUUUCUUUCGAAAUUAUUAAAAAAAAUAUUUUCUUUCUUCUUUAUAAGUCUUUCUUUCGUAAAUUAAAAAAAAUAUCAGAAAAAACAUAUAUCAAAAUAAAAUAAAAAAAACAAAAAAAAAUUUCCUUGUUGGGAGCUUCAUGCUCUAAAAAAAGAGUUAUUUUGUUUUCUUUAUUUCUGAUCUUCUCGAACUACGCAAAGAUCUGAUUCAUGUCUCUACAUGAUACGUAGGCAACUCACAUUAAGUUCGAUCGACCAUUUUAAAAAAAUGAAUAAAAAAUGAUGAUGAUGAUAAUAAGGACCGACUGAGUCCAUUCUAACUUAAUCUUUGUUUUGAAUGGUGAAGAAAGUUUAAGGUGGCCGGUUUGUUGUAAGCUGACAACAUAUCCAGAAUUCACAAUAUCCAAGAGAAAAAUGCCAAUGACAACUGACAUCGAAACUGUUACGAGUGGUCAAAAGACUCAGGGUCGGGAGAUUCAACAAGUGUCUACUGGGUUGAGGAAAAUAGAAUACUAAAAUAACAAAUGACUGAAAUGUGUCAAGCAUGGACCAAUGCCAAGGAUCGCCCUUUUCUAUUCAUGGUCUCCCAGAGUUCACAUCCAUCUCGACUACUACCACUCCGGUCUCAUUGUCUGAUCAAACCUAUCCAACUGGGUUCAGUCUUUAUCUCAAUUGUAUGACUGCAACUGGAACUUCUGUUGCGCGCUCCCAAAGUUUGCCAUUGAAAACCAAUCAGAAAACCACUACUAUUAUGCCCAUCUUCACUAUCCCAUAGCCGACAGUGGUGCAGAGAAAACUCAUGAGUCACAAUUUGCUACCCAGCAAGAACAAUACCACUCUCUUGAGUACCACUCAUACCUAUUUGAUCUUCCUGCAAAGAUUGAGAAGCCUGCCCGUAAGAUCUCACAGGAAGAAAUAGCCCAAAGAAUGAAAAGCUUAGAACAACAAUUGAAAAACAUGCAAGGGUUGACAAGUCGGAAGAGUAUUGCCUUCAAAGAUCUAUAUAUGUUCCCCGAUGUUCGUUUUUCACUUGGUUUCAAGACUCCCAAAUUUGAAAAGUAUGAUAUACAUGGAGACCCCAUAGCCCACCUGAAAAGGUAUUGCAAUCAACUAAGAGGUGCGCGAGGAAAUGAGGAAUUACUGAUGGCUUAUUUUGGGGAAAGCCUUACAGGAGUAGCCUCUGAAUGGUUCAUGGAUCAACACACCUCUCACUGGCAUGUCUUGGAUGACAUGGCCCGAGCCUUUGUUAGACAAUUCAAAUACAACAUCGAUAUCGCCCCAGACCGUAAUUCCCUUUCAAACCUGGAGAAGAAACCAACUCAAAAUUUCAGGGAAUAUGCCAAUAAAUAGAGAGAGCAAGUGGCUAGAGUUAAGCCACCCACGGAUGACCACGAGCUAAUCACUGUCUUCCUUCAGGAUCAAGAGCCAGGUUAUUUUCAAAACAUGAUGUCCGAAGUGGGCAAAUCCUUCUCGGAACCAAUCAAAAUUGGGGAAAUGGUUGAGAAUCUCCUUAAGACAUGCAGAAUUAUAAAUCAAGCAGUUCUCAAAGAUGCAACUCAGGCUGUCCAGAUUGAAUAUGUUAAUUUAGUGACACGAAUGAGAAGGAUGAAUAAACCAUGAUGACAACAAAGUCAAGAAGAGGUUAUAUGAGAAUAUCUCGAAGGUAUGAGCAGCCUCGUCAGGUUUCCGAUGAUUCCCCUGAGCACUACCAUCUACCUCAGAACCCACAAUACUCUUUUGCUCCACCUCAGUAUGUUAUACAGCUACCAAGACAUCCUAGAAGGCGAGCACCAGCACCGCAAAGUCUCCAUUGGCCUCCACAAAAUUUUCAAGUGCCCUAUAACCCACAUCCAAGCUAAGGGUAUAGAGGGGAACAAAUGUUGAAAGAUAAUUUUACACCAAUAGGAGAGUCCUAUGCAAGCUUGUUUGAGAAAUUAACGCAUUGUGACAUGAUUGCACCCAUUCCUCUAAAUAAUGUGGAUCUACGUGCAAAAAGCUUUGACCCUUCUAAAUGGUGUGAAUACCAUUCCAAUUCCCUGGGGCACAAUGUUGAAAGUUGUCGGGAUUUGAAAAGAGAAAUAGAAAGGAUGAUCCAGGAAAAAUUGAUUGUGAUCCAAGAGAGUGACAUUGACACCCAAAAUAUCGCAGAGAAUCCUUUGCCUGCACAUGAUGAUGCACACUUUGUUUGGAUGAUAUGUGGUGACAUAGAGUAUGAGAAUCCUCUCGGGAACUUAUCGACUGAAGUUAAUGAGUUUGAAAUUUGAGAAGACCCUGGUGGUUCAGAUGAGCAAAUUUGUGGCUAAAUGUCAAGCUUCGCAAUUGAAAAGUCAUUCCUUCCUCACUAAGAAGGAUUAUUGGUACCUUGUUUUGAUGCUUUUUCUAUUAUCUGGUUUAUUUCAGGGUUGUGAUCUAGAUUUUUUAUGUUUUAUUGAGUCAAAACCUUCCACCCCUCUAUUUUGUCUGUGUGAGUCUUGUCUGUUUGUUCUCUUGUUAUUUUUAUUAUCUGGAUUAUUUUAGGGUUUUAAAUUGGAUUUUAGGUUGUUUGUCUUGUUGUCAAACCCUUCCAUCCUUAUUCAAUAAAAUAUAGUUUAUCCCUUUGUGUCAUUCCGUGCUUAGUUUCUUUUCCCGCUAGUUUUAGUGACAUGAUAUGCAUGCAAAUUUUUUGGCCAGAUGUUAGAAAAACUGAUUUAGUGCCUGUUUGGAUUGACUUGUUUUAAGUGCUUUUAAGCCAAAACCAACCGUCGUGAUGGCACAUAUCGUGGAACUAGGCCAGCCUUUAACAACGCAUCAUAGAAAAAUAACUUUUAAAAAAUAAUGACAGAAGCGGUUAACAUUAAAGAAACCUUUUAGAAAACAGAAUAAAUUCCAAAAGUAUGAUACAAUCUAACCCAAAACUGGGGUGUCACUGAGUACAUGAGCAUCUAAAUUAGAAUACAGUCCACUACAAUGUCUAGAGAAAUAAUUGAAAAUACAACUAAUUAUAAAGAAGGAGAGUCAAGGCCUGCGAACACCGUGUAGCUACCUUUAUAGUCUCCGAACUCUGAAGCCUCGAUCAGCAACUGCCAUCAUGACCGUAAUCUCCUGGAUCUGCACACGAGGUGCAGGGAGUAACAUGAGUACAUCCAACUCACUAUGUAACUAGUCCAAACUUUUGACUGAAAGGUAGUGACAAACUCAAUUGGUAUAGAUAAUAUAGAAAUAAUUGUGCAGAAACGUAAGCAUGCUUUCAAAUUAAAUAGGCAGCUCAACACAAUAAAAGUAAAGCAGGUCUGAACAAUAUAAAGAAUAUAACUUUGCUAUCUCUACAUGCCAAUGCAUAUGCUGUAUGUGAUGCACCAUGCUGUCAGCCUCAUGUGCUCACUCUCAAAUGGUCAACCACUCGGUAUUGUAUAUAGCCCAUACGGCCUAGGAAAGAUCCAUCCUGGAACAUAUACCUUACUGACUAUAAGUUACCCAGUACCGAGGAAGGCCAAUCUAGCCCUGUGGAGAAGAUCCAUCUCUAGGUAUCAGGUACUUCGGACAAGAUCCAUGUCCAGCGAAGAUCCAUCCCUUAAUAAUAUCAACUGCGCUCACUGGGGGUGUGUAUAGACUCCGGAGGGGCUCCUACAUCCCAAGCACUAUCACAAAUCAAUAUAACCGUUGCGGCGUGCAACCCGAUCCCAUAGUUGUCACUCAAAAUCAGGCCCUCAACCUCACUCAGUCAUCAAUCCUUCCAGUCUCACUCACGGGCUCACAAUGUCAUGAAAAACUAGCCCGAACAAUGAUAUGAUGUAUCAAUAAAUAACAAAUGAGACUGAGAUAUGAUAUGAAAUGCAUGUACAUGACUGCGUACAAACUAUCAAUGAAAUCAUUGAUAUGACAACAAGAAGUGACCACUAUGGGUCCCAACAGUACCGACAUAAAGCCUAAACAUGAUAUCUAGCAUGAUUGAUGACUCAAUUACUUUGUCACAUGGUGAAAAUACGGAUAUCAACAAGAUAGUGUCACUAUACAGUGACAUGGAAUCAACCAGAUCAUAAUUCUCACGGUGUGAACACCCGCAUGUCCGUCACCUCAAUAGCAAUCACAUAACACAUAAUUUAGGGUUUCGAACCCUCACAACCAAGUUUGAAAUAGUUACUUACCUCAAUCCGGGCAAAAUCCUAUUCCGCAAUGCCUUUGCCCCUCAACUCGGUCUCCAAACAUCCCGAAUCUAGUUACAAGUAGUACAAUACAAUCAAUAAAGGCUAAAAGGAUCAAUUCCACGAGAAAACUACUAAAUUAUAGCCAAAACCCAAAAUCAGCUCAAACCUGGCCCCAAGGCCCACGUCUCGAAAUCCAACAAAAGUCAUAAAACCCAAAAGCCCAUCCACUCAUGAGUCUAACGAUACCAAAUUUAUCCAAAUCUGAUAUCAAAUGGUCACCCAAAUCCCCAAAAUUCAUUCUCCAAAUCCCUAGCCUCAAACCUCCAAAUUUCACCUCAACACUCACAAUCUUGGUGGGAAAAUCAAUGGGGAAACAAGAUUUAUGAUAAAAAAUGAGUACAAGAAGAUUAAAUAAUCCCAUAAAAAAUCCUCUCCAAAAUCGCCUAUGUCCGAGUCCAAAAUGCUGAAAUAAGACUAAAAUCGUGAACCCUUGUUUUUAAACAUUCUGCCCAGGUUUUUCGUACCUGCGACCCUCUAUCCGCCUCUGCGGUAAAAUCCCUGCUUCUGCGAUAGUCACUUUCCCCAUCUUCCUCCGCUUCUGUGAUCACUGACCCGCAUCUACGUAAGUCGCAGGUGCGGAAAUCGCAUCAUACCUACGGACCCAUACUCUCAUCUGCGCUCCACUAUCCGCUUCUGCGACCACCGCAGGUGCAAGAAAGUCUUCGCACCUAUGACCUCUGCCCAUCUCGUCCUUGAUCGCACCUGCAAUCCUUGCCAUGCUUCUACGAGCUCUCACUUGCGGUUCCCACUCCGUAAGUGCGGUUACACUAGAAGCAGCAGCACUUCAGUUGCAUUCCUCAACUCAAACUCAAGCCGUUAGCCACCCGAAAUCACCCCAAAGCCCUCAGGACCUCAACCAAACAUACCAUCAAGUCCCAAAACAUCAUACGAACUUAGUCAAAUCCUAAAAUCACCUCAAAUAACAUCAAAAACACCAAUUACACACGAGUUCAAGCCUAAUGAACUUCGAAAUUUCCAAAUUCUACAAACGAUGCCAAAACAUAUCAAAUCACGUCCAAUUGACCUCAAAUUUUACACUCAAGUCCUAAAUGACACCAGGACCUAGUCCAACUUUUUUAAAUCCAAUCCGACCUCGAUAUCAAAAAAGUCCACUCCCGAUCAAAUUCUCCAAAAUUCCAACUUUCGGCAUUUCAAGCCUAAUAAUUCCACUACAGACCUCCAAAACACAAUCCGGACGCGUUCCUAAGUCUAAAAUCACCUAACGGAGCUAACAGAACCAUCAAAAUUUAAAUUGAGGUCGUUUACGCAUAAGUCGACAUUCGGUCAACUUUUCCAUCUUAAGCUUUCAAAUAAGACUAAGUAUCUCAAAUUCAUUCUGAAAUCACUCUGGACCUAAACUAACUAACCCGAUAAAUCAUAAUAUAGUUGUAGAACACAAAAAAACAAAAAUUGGGGAAAUGGGGCUAUAAAUCUCGAAAUGACCGACCGGAUCGUUACAUAAAUACAAAGUCGAAACACUUUGGAAUUAAGCUCGAGUAAAACUCAUGUGGAACUAGAAUAGUCAUAACCGUGGAGGUUAAUGAUCUUUACCUUCAAAUCAUUGUGAACGUCAGAUUUGAGAAAUCAAUUGAAGUUUUUUGGAAAGUUUGACAUUGAUGAUGAAAAGUGUCUUUCGACCACGAUACACCAAGAAUAUAGACAUAUUCAUCAAUGUUGUAAUCGUGAAAGGAUACUAUGUUUGGCGUUCUCGAGGCCCUAUUUCUGCUAUCCAAAUACUUUAUACCCUUUGUUACCCCUUUUGAGCUUGUGUUAUUUUCUUUGACCACCCUCUUUUGGAAUCAGGUUUCGAGUUAAAAGUCAAAAGAAAAAUGAAAAAAAUAAUAAAAAAUGAAAACAAAAAAAUGAUGAAACGAAAAGUCCAUGCCCCAAGAGUACAAACUGCGGCAACUCUUAGAAAGAACAGUCAAAGGUCCAUGCCCCAAGAAAAUAGAAGUUGGAACAAUUUGUUUUGAAAAAAAAAAAGAAACAGAAAGGAAAAUGAAACAUAGUUAGGUCAGAUGUUUGAACUAAGUUUGACAUGAUUCCUUAAAAAAGGGAUACGUAGGCAGCCUUACUGUCACGACCCAAAAAAUACAAAUCGUAAUGACACCUAACUCAACCCACUAGGUAAGCCAACUAAAAGAAGCACAACUCAACUGAGGUUAUAAUAGAAAAGAGAAUAGAUAGCUGAGCAUUUACAAAUUUACCCAAGACCUGGUAGUACGAAUCACGAGCUUCUAAGAUUUGGAAUUUCAAAACUGAUACAAAUAAAUACACGUUCUAUUUGAAGGUUACUUAAACAGAUUAGCAAUAAUCUAGACUACCAAGGACAAGUGGCAGCUAUAACCAAAUGCACGAAUAUCUUCUGAAUCAGCACCCGAUGUCACCAGCAGCUCUGCUCCAAAAUCUGCAUGAAACGUGCAGAAGUGUAGUAUCAGUAUAACUGACCCCAUGUAUUGAUACGUAUUUUGUCUAACCUCGUCGAAGUAGUGAUGAGGCCUUUAGUUAAAAAGAUGCUUAUUGUUAUAACCUAUACAACAGAUUAACAGUAAGGCAGUUCAAAGUAUAACGGAUAAAAGUAUCAUAUACAACUCGGCGAGACAGUCAAUAAUUACUAAAACAACCCCUGUAGAAUAUUUACGAUCUUUCCUCAUAUGAGAUAUAUGUCCAAAAUGUUAAAUGUCAAAUCACAUGGCACGGUAACACCCUUCGUGCUUUUAUCUCAUCCUCACCAUGUAUAAGUAAAUUUAUGUAACAAUUCAAUUAGCAUGGCAACACCCUUCGUGCGUUCAACUCAUCUUUCCAAAUGAUCGUAUAACAUAGCCAACCCUAUCACAGGAACACAAUAAUAGGAAUUACUAAGUAAGAAAUAUGCAAGUAAUGACGAUGGGCAAGGAUGCACGUUGGAUCACAGUAAAGGACUAAGCGAAAUACACGCGAGUAAUAAUAACAAAUGAAAAACAAGGAAUAUCAACUUCAAUAACUAGUAUAUUGGAGGCCUAAGUACAAAUAUAACAAUUAAGACAGAAACACUUGAUCUUUGCAAGUUAACAAGUAAGGGCAUGAAUGACUAGCAUGGUGGAAGGCAAAAACUAAAGUGCAACAUAAUAGAUAUAACAUGAGUAUAAUUAUAAAAGCAGGAACUAGGCCUGGUAUUCGCAAGUUAAGCAAGUAAAAUACAUGGGCAAUGCAACAACAAUUGAGAUAAAGGUCAAGUAUAGGACAAUAACAACAAGUCACACAAAAUAUGUAAGUACAACAAUAACAGCUCAAGGUAAGGACACAAACAUAUACACAGGAAACAAAUAUCACAUCAUAAUGCACAUCCCUCGUCCUCACCUGCACGGAAACACCCUUCGUGCCAUGACCUCACAAUAACAUACAAGCAUAACAAUAUAAAUAAAAUAGCACGGUAUCACCCUUCGUGCUUUUACUCUCAAAUGAUAUGGUACGACAUCACCCUUCGUGCUUUUACUCUCAAUAAUAUGGAACGACAUUACCCUUCGUGCUUUUACUCUCAAUAAUGUGGCACUCCAUCACCCUUCGUGCUUUUACUCUCAAUAAUAUGGCGCGUCAUCACCCUUCAUGGUUUACACUCUCCCUCACAAAAUAAUGUAUAAACAAUGGCACGACAUCACCCUUCGUGCUUUACACUCUUCCUUACCAAACAUAUAUAUAACAAUAACAAACAAGACAUGAAGCAUAAAGGACAUCAAGGAGAGUGUUUUAACGGAUAUUCCAAACAAUUCCCAAUCCCAACCUUCCAAGUCAACAAUGAUUCAACAACCCUCAAGAACUGACUAUUCAAAUUCUUCCACAGAUCUCAUAAAUGAUCCACAAUUCAAUUAUAGAGUCUAGUGUCUCAAGAAUAUCGACUGCAGCAAUGUAGUAAUAAUUACGCAUAGAGAUGACCAAACUAGACACAUCAAUGUAUUUUCAGAAUUCUAUCAAAUUCGAUCAAGUUAUAUUAGGCUAAGUCUUGAUUACUAACAUUUUAUACUACGUUCUUAAUAUCGGUAAAUUAACUGAAACAUGAAGCAAGGGAGUUACGUAAUUCUACAAGACACAAUUAGAGCACAAUCUACCCCAGAGCAUGAUUAACCUCGGCACAUACAUAUAUGCUCUUCACCUCAUAUAUGUAUCACCCCUGCAUGUAGCAAACAAUGACAAAUAGGAGAAAAAUUUCCCUCAACAAAGUUAGGUAAAACACUUACCUCGAUUAAGCUAAUCUUAAUGCUCAACUUAGCCUUUUCCUCAACAAAUUCGCCUCCGCCCAACUCAAUCUAGCCAAUGACGACUUGAAUACACCACACAUUGCAAGAGAAAAAAAUUUCAAUUAAUAAAGCUAUGAUUUUUAUUCAAUUUCUAAAAAGUCAACAAAAGUCAAACCCAGGGCCCGCCCGGUCAAAAUCCGGGAACAAGGUUAGGUCUUGAUUACCCAUAGCCUCACAAGUCCAAAUAUGUGUUUUGUUUUCAAAUCCGAGUCCUAUUCGACUCUCAAAUCCUAAAUUUUUUAUUUUUCAAAACUUUGACAAAAUCUCCAAAUUUUUCCAUAGAUUUCUCAAGAAUUUGAUGUUAAAUCUUGUAUAAAAUCAUGAAAUAUAGUUGAAAAUUGAUUAAAGAUACUUACCAAUAUUUUGGUCUAAAAAUCCCCUCUCAAAAUCGCCUCACCGCGAAGCUAGGGUUCAAAAAUAUAAAAAUGAAGCAAAAACUCGGAAUUCUCAGUACUUAGCAGGCUGAAGAUGUCGCAUUUGCGAACAAAACUUCGCAUUUGCGUAUAAACAGUGUUUUUGCCAUUGCCAUAAAUGGUUGGCAAUUGCGGAUGAACAGUGUUUUUGCAAUUGCCAUAAAAGGUUCACAAUUACAAAUUGUCACAUCUCCUUUUUACCACCCGAGGGGUGUAUAUAAGGGAGUUUUUCCAUUUAAGUGACAUUAAUCGAAAUGAGAUUAUUUAAUUUAUUUUUUAGAUUCGCCACUAGGAAUAGUUUAUCUGGUGUCCUAAGUCACCAGUUUAUUUUAAAAUCCCAAAUCAAGAAAAUUUCGACUUUGCAUUAUAAGCCUGCGAACCAGAAAUUCUAGAUAUGGAAUUCUGUUAACUCGAGAGAAGGUUUUCGGCAUUCCCGGGUUUCGUGGUUCUAGCACUAUAACGACCCGGCCAGUCGUUUUGAGAAUUUAAUCUCCGUUCAGCUGUGUAAGGUCUUGAACAACUUUGUAAUAUGAGCAUCGACUUGUGUGCAUGGUUGAAUUCGGUUAAUAGAUGAUUCAGAGUCGAAUUGGAAGAAGGCAUCAAGUUUUGGGAGCUUGAACGGUGAAAAUUUGACCAGAAUUGGACUUUUGAGUAAAUGGACCUGGAAUGAAAUUUUGAUAAUCCCAACAGCUUCGUAUUGUGAUUUUGGACUUAGGCACGUGUCCGGAUUCAGAUUUGGAGGUCCGUAGGGUAAAUUGAGGUAUUUCGGCGAAAGUUGGAAAAGUUAAAGUUUAACCCAUAGUUGACUUUUGUGAUAUCGGGGUCAGAAUGUGAUUAUGAGAGUUGGAGCAGCUCCGUUAUGUCAUUUUGGACUUGCCUGCAAAAUUUGGCGUCAUUCCGAGUUGAUUUAAUCGGUUUCGACACAAGUUUUCGAAUUUGGAAGAUUUGGAAGUUCAUAGUUUGAUUCAUGGUGUGUUUCGUCGUUUCAGCUUUGUUUGAUGUGAUUUGAGACCUCGAGCGAGUCCAUGUUAGGUUAUGUGACUUGUUUAUGAGUUUAGACGGGGUCCCGAGGGCCUCGGGUGUGUUCCAGGUGGGCUACGGGUAUUUUCCCCAUUUUUGGAACUGUUGUUUUGCUGCUUCUGAUAUCCUUCUUUGUGAUCGCGAACAGCCUCUCGCGUUCACGAUGACUUGUUGCUGACCACCUCGAAAUCCUUCUUCGCGUUCACGUCCUUCUCUUCGCGUUCGCGAAGCCCUGCAUUUUUCUUCUCCGCGUUCGCGAGCUCAUCAUCGCAUUCGCGAUGAGCAACCUGGGCAGUCUUAAAUUUUCUUCUUCGCGAACGCGGCCCUCUCUUCGCAUUCACGAUGAAUAAAAACCUAGGCAGACAAAAUAUAUCCCAAAAUCAAGGGUUUCACCAUUUUCAUCACAUUUUGACUUCUAGAGCUCAGUUCUUGGCGAUUUUUGUUGGGGUUUUCAAGAAAUUCGAUUGGGUAAGUGUUCUUCAACUAGAAUUAAAUAUAUUCCAUGAAUUUGUCUUUAUUUGUAUCAUUUAAAUUGUGUUUUGGGUUGGGGAAAGGGUUGGUUUUUGAAGAAAAAUUUCAAAGUGAAAAAUCAUGAUUUGAGGGACCAAAUGGUAUCGGAAUUGGAUAAAUUUUGUAUGGUUAAACUCAUUUUGGAAUGGGUGAUCGGAUUUUUGUAAUAUUUGAUGGGUUCCGAGGUGCAUGCCCGGGGGUCGACUUUUGGGUCGAUUUUUAUAUUUUUGUAAAGAUUGAAACUUUAUUAUUUGGAAUAGUUCCUUAUUCGAUUUUUGUGUUUUGGAGUUGUUAUAGUUGGAUUUGAGCUCUCCGGAGGUCUUUUCGCCCGAGAAGUCCAUUUUAGAGUACCGAGUUGUCGUCCUUGAGGUAAGUAUCUUGCCUAACCUUGUGUGAGGGACUUCCCGUUAGGAUUGAGUUUUCUAUGUUGAUUGAAAUCCAUGUACGCGAGGUGACGAGUGCGUACCCGGACUUAAUUGUGGAUAGUUGGCCUUGUAGGGUUCUUAGGUUCUUAUAUUCACUAUGUAUGGAGUUAUUCUUGAUAUGACUGAGUUCCUGCUUAUUAGUUUCGUCUCUACAUGCUUAGUUGGAAUUGUUUGCUGCAUGAUUUAUUCUUAUUGCCUAAUUGUCAUCCUGCUUGAUUAAACUGAAGAACUUCGUCUCUCUUAUCAUCAUGCUACCUUUUCAUAACUUUUUGCGUUACUGAGAGUUAGUGUUAGUGCACGCGGUCUCUACCGUGCGGUUGUGGUUGUGUUGGUGCAUGAGGUCUUUGCCAGGCGGUUGUAGUUGUUGGUGCAUGAGGUCUCUGCCGUGCGGUUGUGGUUGUAUUUUGCACGAGGUCUCUGUUGUGCAGUUGUUAUUGAGGGGUUGCAAGAUCUUUGCCGUGCUAUUGUUACUAUUGAUAUAUUGCACAUGUGGCUUGACAAGGCAGGAUAUGUUUAUAUGCUUAUAUGUGGGUUGCGCAUGUGGCGAGAUAAGGUGGUAACAUUAUGAUGCAUGUGUGGCAAAACAAGGCAGGCGUUUAUUAUGUUAUUAUUCGCACACAUGGCAAGACAAGGUGGGCUAUGUCAGGGAUUGAUUGUGAGGAUUUGUGAUGGCUUGGGUGCAUUCUUGUUUGUUAAUUAUAUGAUUGCGGUACGCUUACCUAUAUGAGCUUUAUCUCGUGGAAGUUGUGAGGAAACAUCGUAUGUGUUGUUUGCUCUUCUCCUUACGUCUAUUAGCUGGUAGGUUAUUUUGUUAGAGCACUUGCACAAGCAUAAACAUAGUUGAACACUCCUAUUGGAUGUGAAGUCCUCCUAAUUUUGCUGAGUAUAGAUGUACACCCUCGUUUACCUAUUAUAUAUGUGAGAGUGGCCCUGGUUAGGAAGUGAGUUGUCAGUAUGACCAUGAGGUUGAUAGGGGCAUAGGAUGCCAAGUGUUAGAUUUUAGGUACUGGGACUUGUGAGUUGUAAUUGUCCGAGAUUCGGUAUUUCGUGGAAAUUGUUGGAUAAGACCUGAUGUGAACACUGUCGUAGGAUCUGAGUUAUUGCUUACCUUUAUUGUAUUGUGACUCUAGGAUUUGGGUUGUGUUUUUGCUCGCUCUUCUGUGUCAUUAUUUUAGUAUUUCGUGUUGCUUGAGGUUUUCUUCCCUUAUUGAGAUUGUAGUAUUGUUAGCCAUUUCGUGUAGUCUUUAUAUAUACAUCAUGUCCCGUUGUUCCUAUAUUUGUAUAGUUUAUUGGAUCGGUAGGUGUCUUGACUGUUCCUCAUCACCACUCCACCGAGGUUAGUCUUGAUACUUACUGGGCACUGCUAUGGUUUGUUGUGUAGAUCUAGGUACUUCCACUCAGUUCUAUCAUCCUUGGGAGGAGGCAUUUCUGUAGAGACUUUGAGGUAUAUCUGCCACGUCCGUAGACCGAGGAGUCCCUUUCUAUCUUUCGGUAAUAAGUAUAGCCUUUCAGUAUUUUCCCCUUGUUUAGACUUUUUCGGAGUUAGAGCUUCUUAUGUAUCUCUUAGCUUGUGAUUCGUGAGAUUCCGAGUUUUGGGAAUUGUUGUUAGCUUCGAGAGUUGUUAUUGUAUGUGCCGAGCAGCACCUUAAAUACUGUUUCAUUUUACUAUUUUGGUUUUUAAUUAUUUCUUCCGCAAUUACUAUUUACAUUCUGCAUUGUUAGGCUUACCUAGUCAUAGAGACUAGGUGCCGUCAUGAUGGUUCACGGAGGGCGAACUGGGGUCGUGACAAGUUGGUAUCAGAGCUCUAGGUUCAUAGGAGUCAUGGAUCACAAGCGGUUUAUUAGAGUCUUGCUGAUCGGUACGGAGACGUCAGUACUUAUCUACGAGGGGCUAUGUAACUGUUAGGAAAAUUUCCACUUCAUUUGAUUUCCUUGUCGUGCGAGAUUUUUGACUUCACAAUCCUAAACCUCUAUCUUCCAUUCUCUCACAGAUGGUGAGGACACAUGCUUCCCGAGAUGAU
rnacentral:lncRNA from 1 species